rnacentral:rRNA from 1 species
AUUGAACGCUGGCGGCAUGCCUUACACAUGCAAGUCGAACGGCAGCACGGGAGCUUGCUCCUGGUGGCGAGUGGCGAACGGGUGAGUAAUAUAUCGGAACGUGCCCUGGAGUGGGGGAUAACUAGUCUAAAGAUUAGCUAAUACCGCAUACGAUCUAAGGAUGAAAGUGGGGGAUCGCAAGACCUCAUGCUCGUGGAGCGGCCGAUAUCUGAUUAGUUAGUUGGUGAGGUAAAGGCUCACCAAGGCAUCGAUCAGUCGCUGGUCUGAGAGGACGACCAGCCACACUGGGACCGAGACACGGCCCAGACUCCUACGGGAGGCAGCAGUGGGGAAUUUUGGACAAUGGGCGCAAGCCUGAUCCAGCAAUGCCGCGUGAGUGAAGAAGGCCUUCGGGUUGUAAAGCUCUUUUGUCAGGGAAGAAACGGUGAGGGUUAAUACCUCUUGCUAAUGACGGUACCUGAAGAAUAAGCACCGGCUAACUACGUGCCAGCCGCCGCGGUAA